UAUGGAUUGUAGUUGUUAUUGUGUUAGAAUGUGUAGGUUAUUGUGUAUAUGAAGUGUAGGUUAUGUGGUUAGUGGUGGUUAUUGUGUUUAUGAAUGUGUAGGUUAUUGUGUAGGUUAUUGUGUAUAUGAAUGUGUAGGUUAUUGUGUAUAUGAAAGUGUAUGUUAUUGUGUAUAUGAAUGUGUAGGGGAUUGUUAGUUAUGUGUAUUAUGAAGGA
rnacentral:lncRNA from 1 species